rnacentral:rRNA from 1 species
AUUGAACGCUGGCGGCAGGCUUAACACAUGCAAGUCGAGCGGAGCGAGGGUGCUUGCACCUUAGCUUAGCGGCGGACGGGUGAGUAAUGCUUAGGAAUCUGCCUAUUAGUGGGGGACAACAUUCCGAAAGGGAUGCUAAUACCGCAUACGCCCGACGGUGGAAAGCAGGGGAUCUUCGGACCUCGCGCUAAUAGAUGAGCCUAAGUCGGAUUAGCUAGUUGGUGGGGUAAAGGCCUACCAAGGCGACGAUCUGUAGCGGGUCUGAGAGGAUGAUCCGCCACACUGGGACUGAGACACGGCCCAGACUCCUACGGGAGGCAGCAGUGGGGAAUAUUGGACAAUGGGCGGAAGCCUGAUCCAGCCAUGCCGCGUGUGUGAAGAAGGCCUUUUGGUUGUAAAGCACUUUAAGCGAGGAGGAGGCUCUUAAGGUUAAUACCCUUGAUGAGUGGACGUUACUCGCAGAAUAAGCACCGGCUAACUCUGUGCCAGCAGCCGCCGUAAUAC